rnacentral:lncRNA from 10 species
UCUUCAAAGCAAUGUGCCAUGCUGUAACAACCCCAAUACGUGCUUCUGACCAUCUAUCCUCUUCCUCUACAAAAACCUACCUUGUAUUUCAACACAGUCUAGGAUUCUGACAAAUGUUUAUACUAAUAUUAUAAUUUUCAAGCUACAUCUAAAAUUCCUAUUUUCCAUAUAAUUCCUUGCCAUCCUGUGAUCUCUGCUUGACAUACUCUCAUAGUUCUGUUUCCCUUCUCACCCCUGACCUUCCAGAGUGCCCACUCCGGGUAAGUUUCAUUAUUCAAGUGACAGAGAAAUGUUUUCUCUUUGAGGUAAGAUAGUAUCUGUGA